ACCUGCCUCUGCCUCCCAAAGUGCUGAGAUACAGGCAUGAGCUACAGCUACUGUGCCCGGCCACACCUUGACAUUUUCUAUCAGAUUAUGACAAAAAUUUUUAAAUAAUGAGCAAAAAUUAUAGAUUACAGCAAUGUAAUUUAAUAGGUUACAUGGCAUUUAGGGAUAUAUAAGAGAGUAUAUUUUUCAAAUAACCACUCAAAAAUGUGUGUGUCUAGGAAAGUUCAGUGUGUACUAGAAAUAAAGAUAUGCAUGGUAAGUAAUGACAAAGGCACAAGUCUAUAUUAAUCUCAGAACAUAAUAAUAGAAAACUAAAAAUUUUAUUGUUAGCAUAAGUUGAAAAAUGUGCUAUUUAAUACAGAGUUUGAAAGUAGAGACUCUUGAGUGAAAUGUAUACAUUCAUUGCGAAUUAAAACACCCCAAUAUUAGAAUAAUGUGGAAUUGUACAAAUAGGCAGAAACAUAUUGCUUUAAACCAGUUGUUUGAAAGGCACAUUAAAACAGAAAAACUUUUUGAACAUAUUAGAAAAAGAAAUAAUAAUAGAUCAUAAAAGCCAUUUAGAAAAACACCAAGACUAACCACAAGUCAGACCACAAAUGAUGUAGUUAAUUUAAUAUACAUGUACACAGUUUGUGUGUAUAAACGUAUUUUUUAAAAGUUGAAUUUUAUUAGUAAAGUUAUACAUUGAAAUGUAGGAGAUGCCAUUUCUCCUAUUAAGUGGUAGUGCUCCGUUGUUGACAGUGCACUGACAGUAUAAUGCAGCAGUUCAGAGGGCGGAUUCUGGACCCACACUCCCUGUAUUUGAACCCUAGCUCUGCUACUGAUGAGCCAGUAUGAACUGCUGAUAUGAACUCUCAGUUCAGCUGAGGCCUUUCUGGCCUUAGUCAUCUCAUCUGUAAAAUUAAUCUGUGUAGAGGACUUGGCACGUAACUAACAUUCAUGUUGUUGUCAAACCAUUAACUCCCUUCAAACCUCUUCAAUGAAAUUUCCUUUUAAAGAUGAAAGGAGCAUUUUUUCUGCAACUAGACCCUGCACUGUCUGGCCCCCACCUAUCUUUGCAACCACGUUUCCUACCAGUGUUCCCCGGUGAAUUGUGCCAUACCCACAAAUGCCUUCUUGAAUAAACCCAGGUUUAUUCAAGAAUAAAACCAGGUAUCUACCACUUCAGAGCCUUCUUGUUUUAACUUCUGUUUGAAAAGUUCUUCUGUCCACACCUGCUUAGGUACCACAUACAUAAGUAACCCUUUCCUCUGGCUAGUUCCUUCUCAUCCUUCAAUCCUUAAACGUCACCUCAGAGAGACCUUCCCUCACCAUCCUGUACACACUAGUUGCCCCCAUUAUUCUAAUUCUCUUUUUCUUUCAUUGUACUGAUCAUAAUUGGUAGGUUUUUUUAAACAUGUAUUUGUUUGCAUUUUCUAAUGUCUGUCUUCCUUACGUGAUAGAUUACUCGUUUUGUUACCCACUAUGACAUGCCGAGAAUGAUACCUGAUACAUAAUUGGCCUUUGCUGUGUUGGAUGAAUGAAGGAACACUAACUGCUGGAACAUAAUUACAGCCUUUCUAGAAAGCAAUAAUUACCAAGAAUUAAAAAAAAAAAUCAUUCCUUUUGAUAUAACAAUCUUUUAACAAACUUUCUUAAAGAUAUUACAAAGAGCGGCGCAGUGGGGGCAGCACAGCGAGCAGGGCGCCUGGGGUGCAGGUGCAGGGUGUCGGGGCGUGCGCGCCUCUUGGCUGCUCGCUGACGGGGCCCCGAGCCGCCGAUUCCUGCCGAGUGUAGAGAGGAGACAUGUUGGUCUCCCUGGACUGAAGAGAGGGAGAAGCCCAAGACUAAGAUUCUCAAAAUGGUUUAUUACCCAGAACUCUUUGACUGGGUCAAUCAAGAACCAUUUCCAAACCAGAACAUGGAGGGAAGGCUUCCUAAGGGAAGACUUCCAGUCCCCAAGGAAGUGAACCGCAAGAAGAACGAUGAGACACACGCUGCCUCCCUGACUCCACUGGGCAGCAGUGAGCUCCGCUCCCGAAGAAUCAGUUACCUCCCCUUUUUUUAAUCGUAGCACCUCCAUUUGUAUUACAUACGGUGUAUGGGUAUUGAUGAGGUCAUGGUAUCAUAUAUGGGAUUUUUUUCUGUGUAAAUCAUCAAGUAUAAGAAGAAACUAUGGGACUCUAAGCCUUGCUUUAGAGAUUUUACCGUGGACAAAUAGGUAUCAUCAACCCAGUUUUUAAUCAUUCUGACUCAGGUGAAAACGCUCAGAAUUUCACACUGUCUGAAUCCACGUUUCCAACCCUGACAGGUGGGCCUUCAGCCUGGUUCGCUACAACAGUGUCUUCCACAGCUCAGACUCCCACCGCACUCACACAACCGGUCCACUCCUGCCUUUUCACUCACACAGCUCCCGACUACUUGCAGAGGCUGAGUCCCCCCUUUUUUUUUCAUUUAGAUGUAACAAACCUAGUAGUUUAUGUUCAUCAGUUGUUUGUAUAGCUCUUUAUUUUAUCCAUGUACUCUUUUGAUGUAUAGAAGUAGUUUGAAACUCAUUGUUUCCUUGUGGUAAGUGACUCAGAUGCUGCCACAGGACCUGAGACACUGAUGGGUGGUGCUAUUUUGGACUUUCAACAUGCUCCUUGGCGAGGUAGCGCCGAUGGAGUUAUUUUUUAUUUCCAUCUUCUAAGAAGGUGUUGGUACUCUGUUUCCCUGAAUGUUGUUCUCUAGACUGGACUGACUUGUUUUCCUUGUGUCUUCAGCGUGGCUUUCUUCCUCAGUGUGGCAGGUUGAGCGACUGCUACCAGAGUGUGAGAGACGAUUGUCUCGUUGACUGGCACUCACGGACAUGCAGUCACGGUAGCGGGAGCAAUCACAAAACUGUAAUUUACUUACCAAAUCUCUUCCUGUCCGUAGCCUCGCCUGCCUGACUUAGAGAAAGAAAAGCAAUAAUUUUACAGGCAUUUUGAGGUGCCUCUUUGGGUUCUUUGUGUUUGAAAUGAUAUUUGUGGAAAAAAAGAGCAAAACCUUUUUAAAUAAAUUCCCCCUGAAAAAAACCCAAAACACUAGCAUCUGAGUAGGAAUAUGAAAAUGACACCUUUUCCAAAUAUUAAAUUGGAAACCAAUGUCUUUACAAAAUCAUAAUGCUUUUUUAAAAGGCAGAGCACUCUUUUUUUGGCAAUUUUGAUAAGCCAGGUGUAUAUUUACAUUUUUGUCCUUGCUCCCAACGAAAUGAAUAAACAAAACUAAAAUACUAUCUACUCAUGGAAUGUUGUUGUGUUAGCCGGUCUGAAAGCCCACCUUAAUUUUUAUAUAACUGUCUUUUAGCUCUUCUUUUGACAGAGCUGGCCUUGUUCUGAACUGUUUUGCUUCUGACUGUUCAACACCGAUGACGCAUGCACUGCACUUCUUCAUUUUCUUCUUGCUCCCCCAUUGGCCUGAGUUUCUUGUGCAUUCCUCCGCUCCCUCCUUGGUUAGAAUAGGUGUAUCAGCUGUGUAAAUAGAGCAAGAAAACAGUAUUCUGCAUCUGUAGCAUUUAUGUAGAGUUGCAGUUGUGUACUGCUGAAAAUGCAGGCUUUUGUAACAAUGUGAUCUUUACUGAUGCACUCAUGACAAGUACCCAAUGUGUUUUAGGUAUUUUAGUAGUAUUUGUUUAAUAAAUAUGCAAGCUGUAAAAAAAAAAAAAAAA